GCAGGUGUAAGUCGACCAGGGAUGUGGGAGGCAGAGGGCCUGAGGCAGCUGGGAUCCCCACCCUUUCUUACCUGUGGGACCCCUUUUACUCAGGCAGAGAAAUUGACAGCAUUGGGAGCCCCCUCAGUCUGUAGCUGGGCAGGAGGAGCAACCCAGUUGGAUCCCAGCCCCAAAUACCCCUCCUUUCUCUGGGGUCCUGAGUGGGUGUGAACUUGCCUCCAUCGGGCUGAGGGCAGGGGCGCCAGCCAGCCCUGCUUCCCUGGGCAUCACUCAGCUCUGACCCCCAUAGGACUCCCCCAGCAACAAGCUGCUCUACGCCAAGGAGAUCUCUACCUACAAGAAGAUGGUGGAAGCUUAUUACAAGGGGAUCAGGCAGAUGGUGCAGGUCAGCGACCAGGACAUGAACACACACUUAGCAGAGAUUUCCCGGGCACACACAGACUCCCUGAACACCCUUGUGGCCCUGCACCAGCUCUACCAGUACACGCAGAAGUACUAUGAUGAGGUAGGAGGUCCAGUCCUCCCCAGGGU